rnacentral:rRNA from 1 species
GUCUCCGUUGGUGAACCAGCGGAAGGAUCAUUAGAGAAAUCUAUUGAAGGGAGUUUUAAGCAGGAACAUGAGCAUACCAGCGCUUAAUUGCGCGGUCUGUUUGAGUUUCAUUCAAAUGCUUAUUACUUUCCAACUUCUACACACUGUGGAGUUUUUAUUCUACUUUUUUCUUUGGGUGGACUCGUCUGCCCAAGGGUAACAAACACAAACAAUUUUGUAUGUUUUAUUAAUUUGUCAAACCAAUUUCGUUAUGAAAUACAAACUUUAAAACUUUCAACAACGGAUCUCUUGGUUCUCGCAUCGAUGAAGAACGCAGCGAAAUGCGAUACGUAAUGUGAAUUGCAGAAUUCCGUGAAUCAUCGAAUCUUUGAACGCACAUUGCGCUCUCUGGUAUUCCAGGGAGCAUGCCUGUUUGAGCGUCAUUUCCUUCUCAAACACUCGUGUUUGGUUGUGAGUGAUACUCUUUCUAGGGUUAACUUGAAAUUGCUAGCCUUUUGGCUGCGUGCUGGCUCGGAUAAAGCUAUUUGUCCAGUCUGCCAAUACCAAUGUCGUAUUAGGUUUUACCAACUUCGGCGGAUGGUGCUGGUGGGUGUUAUAAAGACUUAUGGCCUGUUCACUGCUAUUGCGUGGUCUGGCAAACAAUACUCUCAAAGUUUGACCUCAAAUCAGGUAGGAUUACCCGCUGAACUUAAGCAUAU